rnacentral:rRNA from 1 species
UGGGGAAUAUUGGACAAUGGGGGGAACCCUGAUCCAGCCAUGCCGCGUGUGUGAAGAAGGCCUUAUGGUUGUAAAGCUCUUUAAGCGAGGAGGAGGGUACUGGUAUUAAUACUACCAGGUACUGGACGUUACUCGCAGAAUAAGCACCGGCUAACUCUGUGCCAGCAGCCGCGGUAAUACAGAGGGUGCGAGCGUUAAUCGGAUUUACUGGGCGUAAAGCGUGCGUAGGCGGCUAAUUGAGUCGGAUGUGAAAUCCCCGAGCUUAACUUGGGAAUUGCAUUCGAUACUGGUUAGCUAGAGUGUGGGAGAGGAUGGUAGAAUUCCAGGUGUAGCGGUGAAAUGCGUAGAGAUCUGGAGGAAUACCGAUGGCGAAGGCAGCCAUCUGGCCUAACACUGACGCUGAGGUACGAAAGCAUGGGGAGCAAACAGG